UACAGAGGUCUCAAGCGUUGUUCGGAUUCAUUGGGCGUAAAGGGUGUGUAGGUGGCGCGCUAAGUCGGGUGUGAAAUUUCGGAGCUUAACUCCGAAACUGCAUUCGAUACUGGCGUGCUUGAGGACUGGAGAGGAGACUGGAACUCAUGGUGUAGCAGUGAAAUGCGUAGAGAUCAUGAGGAAGACCAGUGGCGAAGGCGGGUCUCUGGACAGUUCCUGACACUGAGACACGAAGGCUAGGGGAGCAAACGGG
rnacentral:rRNA from 1 species